GAGGAAUCUUCCACAAUGGGCGAAAGCCUGAUGGAGCAACGCCGCGUGAAGGAUGAAGGCCCUAGGGUUGUAAACUUCUUUUAUAAGUGAAGAAUAUGACGGUAACUUAUGAAUAAGCACCGGCUAACUACGUGCCAGCAGCCGCGGUCAUACGUAGGGUGCAAGCAUUAUCCGGAGUGACUGGGCGUAAAGAGUUGCGUAGGUGGUUUGUUAAGUAGAUAGUGAAAUCUGGAGGCUCAACCUCACAGGCUAUUAUCUAAACUGGCAAACUCGAGAAUGGUAGAGGUAACUGGAAUUUCUUGUGUAGGAGUGAAAUCCGUAGAUAUAAGAAGGAACACCAAUGGCGUAGGCAGGUUACUGGACCAUUUCUGACACUGAGGCACGAAAGCGUGGGGAGCGAACG
rnacentral:rRNA from 1 species